UCUCCCAAGUGCUGGAAUGAAAAGCAUGUACCACCAUCCCUUGGCUUUUUUUUUUCCUCUAAGAGUAGUGAGUGACUGAGAUACUCAACAGCUAGCUGUUAGUGGGGGCACUUGUGGGAAUGUGUGAAAACGAAAAGUAGGGCUUGUGUUGUUUUUAUUUGAAACUGGGUCUUUCUCUGCAGCCACGGCUAGCCUAGAGCUUAGAUGUGCAAACUUGUUCCAUUAGAGGAAUGCCCCCACCUUUGCUGGCCUUGAAUUCACAGAGAUCGCCUGCCUCUGCUGGGCUUAAAGGUGUGCAGUGCUGUUGGUUACACCCAGGACCUUGUAUAUGUUAGACUACCCAAUUGUACCGUGAAGCCACUUCCCCGGAUGGUUUUGGAAAAGCUAAGUGCCUUCCUGGGAAUAUGAUUCUUAGAAUAGGAUGCAAGCAGAACCAGUAGUCAGGCACCAAGACCUUGAAAUUCUCACAUUCCUGCUGCAUCGGUUUCUCAGCCAUUCUGAAUGCAACCAGCAGGGGGCGCCAGGGCCUCACGUUCCUCUGGGUGUCGGGUACCUAAGAAGCUGCCGGUGUUGUUUCUUGGCAGGAGAUGGGAGAUGACCUCUAUGUGUCUUUUCUGCCUGUUCAGACGGAGUUCUUUUCUGCAGAGGAAGAAAAGCAAGAGAAGAUGAGAUGACUCACUGGGUAAAGGGAUCUGCCACCAAACCCAGUCCCUGGGAUUCACAGGUAGAGGGGAGAACUGGCUCAGAGCUGUACUCUGCAGUCAUGCACCCGCCACCCCCAAACAAACAAACAAACAAACAAACAAACAAACAAACAAACAAACAUUUACAAAAAGUAAGAACUGGGCUAGGAAACUGGAGGAAUGAACCAGGGCGGUACCCAUAGGUCAUCUAUUUGAAUGCUUGGUUUCUGGUUGGGGGAAUUGUUUAAGAAGGACUAGGAAGUAUGACCUUAUUGGGGGAAUAUGUCACUGGGGGUGGGUCUUGAGUUUUCAAAAGGCCAGGUGAGACCCAGUGUUUCUCUUUGCUUACAGCUGCAGACCAGAAGUAAACUCUCAGCUCCAUCUCCAGCGCCCACGCCUGCCUGCUGUCACGCUCCCCUCCUCGAUGACCGUGGACUCACUGAAACUGUAAACAAGCUCCCAAUUCAAUGCUUUUAUUUUUAAAAAACUUUUCACUGAUUCGUCCUGAGUUUCACACCAUGUACAUCUCCCUGUCCCCUCCUAUCUGCCUUCUGCCCUUGCAACCCCCCCAAAUAAAGCACCCCCCCCAUGUAUUGUUAA
rnacentral:sRNA from 1 species